AUUGAACGCUGGCGGCAGGCCUAACACAUGCAAGUCGAACGAGUGGCGGACGGGUGAGUAAUGUCUGGGAAACUGCCUGAUGGAGGGGGAUAACUACUGGAAACGGUAGCUAAUCCCGCAUACCAUCAGAUUUUCCCAGAUGGGAUUAGCUAGUUGGUGGGGUAACGGCUCAACAAGGCGACGAUCCCUAGCUGGUCUGAGAGGAUGACCAGCCACACUGGAACUGAGACACGGUCAAGAAUCCUACGGGAGGCAGCAGUGGGGAAUAUUGCACAAGGGGCGCAAGCCUGAUGAAGCCAGGCCGCGUGUGUGAAGAAGGCCUUCGGGUUGGAAAGCACUUUCAGCGAGGAGGCGUUACUCGCAGAAGAAGCACCGGCUAACUCCGUGCCAGCAGCCGCGGUAAUUC
rnacentral:rRNA from 1 species